GACGAACGCUGGCGGCGUGCUUAACACAUGCAAGUCGAACGGUGAAGCGCUUUCCUUUUUGGUUGGUGUGGAUGAGUGGCGAACGGGUGAGUAACACGUGAGUAACCUGCCCCCUUCUUCUGGAUAACCGCAUGAAAGUGUGGCUAAUACGGGAUAUUCUGCGCCUGCUGCAUGGUGGGUGUGGGAAAGAUUGUGCCUUUGGGUGUUUUCGGUGGGGGAUGGGCUCGCGGCCUAUCAGCUUGUUGGUGGGGUGAUGGCCUACCAAGGCGGUGACGGGUAGCCGGCCUGAGAGGGUGGACGGUCACACUGGGACUGAGACACGGCCCAGACUCCUACGGGAGGCAGCAGUGGGGAAUAUUGCACAAUGGGCGCAAGCCUGAUGCAGCGACGCCGCGUGAGGGAUGGAGGCCUUCGGGUUGUGAACCUCUUUCGCCAGUGAAGCAGGCCUGCUCCUUGUGGGUGGGUUGACGGUAGCCGGAUAAGAAGCGCCGGCUAACUACGUG
rnacentral:rRNA from 1 species